rnacentral:misc_RNA from 1 species
ACAAUAUUCCACCCAUAAUGCACUGGAGCAGCAACUUAAUAGCACCAUGGUUGAUGAUGGAGGAGCUACAGGAUCCAUUGGUCCUAUGGGUUGUGGGGAUUUACAGUCUCUUAGCCUGUCCAUGAGCCCUGGUUCUCAGUCAAGUUGUGUUACAGCGCCCAGACAGAUCUCUUCGCCUACUGGCACUGAAUGUAUGGCCAUGGAAACAAAGAAGAG